UAUUAAUCAAUGGGAGCAAUACAUAUUCAUGGCAUACAGAAAGACAUCCCACAGCAUCUUCUUCCCUUCUCCACCUUUAAACCAAAGUGAGGGCUGUGGUUCUAGUCAGUUUACCCCUUAGCAAGCAGCCUGCCUUAUCACUUUUGGAUUGUGCCUCCUAGACUGAGUUCUCCUAAGUGUGAAGAUUCUGAGAGCCCCUCCCAACAUUUUCCUGUCAGCUUCUGGAACUUUUAGAGAGAAAACAUGGUUUGCACCAUGGUUUCUGUGGCUCUGGCACGAGCUUACAGAGCUGCUUUCUAUGAGACACAUGGAUGGAAAAUAUUCCUGAUGGGUAUUCUGUCUCUCCCAGAGCAUGGUUUCCUUCUACCUGCUCAUGUUUUCCCAAUACUGUGAACAGUUAAGCACCAGGGUGUGUGUGCAGGAGGUAGCAUGUCCACCCUUCAGGGGUACAUGGAUCCUUUUUGCUGUCAGGGUCUUUAGAAAUAGUGUAAAUCUUUCUUGAAUUUGGCUAUUCUCUGGCUUUGGCCUGCACAUGAGUGAUACCACCAUGGCUAAUGUGGGUUCCAGCACAGGGCUGUUGGGGAUGGGCACAUGGGACCUUGCAGGAAUCAUGGUAUUAGGAGGCAGGAGUGGCAGAUGGAGGCAGAGAUCAUCAUUUUUGGUGAUAUUUCAGCACCCUCUACAGUCAGCACCUGAGCGAACAGACUCAGCUGAAAGAAAAAUUGAGAAUGUUGCUAGAGGACAAGAAAAAGCUGCAGGGGGAGCAGAUUUUACUACAAGAGUCCUGUGAGGAGGCAAAGAGGCACCGUGAAGAGGCCCAUGAGAAGAUCUAUGACCUCUGGACAAGGCAGCUGCAGGAACAUCAAAGCCUUAAGGAAAAACUUCAGUCCCUAAUGAAGCAGAAGGAGCUGUUCACCCGGCAAAGGGACUUGGCAUUAAAGCUGCAGCAUCACUUCACUGUGUCCCAGAUGAGCACCUCUUCAGAAAACUGAGAAGGCUGGAAGAAGCCAGAGACACCUUGAAGGCAUGAUAUUCUACACUCCAGGUUCACGGCCUCCUCAGAAUAUGCCACGUCUUUUCAGCUGUGAACUCACUAGUGAGGCAAAUAUCAACCUACCAUCAGGCAAUCCAGCCACAAUCUGAUCCACAUCUGUGGCUCACUAUGCCCAGAGAAAAGAUUGUAUCACAAAUAGUCUGAGAUUCAGAGGACACAACACAAAUUACUAAGAACCCUGACAUCCAUCAGCACAUGGCUGCAGUGAGGGGCAAAACAACAUGGAAGAGGACAUAUGGAUGAGCAAGAGUUCUUCUGUCAGCUUCCUAUCAAGGGCUUUGACAAGCUGACUCCAUAUGUGAUGGGAAAUCUGACAAGGAAGACUGUGUUAACAUCACACUGCCAUCCAGACAGACCACAUCCAAAAGCAUAAGAUUCUCUCCAGUGCAGUGCUGAAGCUGACUAGUGCAAGCUGACUUGAAGGUAUGUCAUGUGCAACUUUUGCUGAAGAUAAUUCACUGUAGAGAAUAAGCUAGUUCAUCACCUCAUUUGCUCUCCCCUAAUGAAAUUCCAAGUGAUCCUGAAAUUUGCUUAAUUUUUUUGUUUAUAUGUUGGGAUAUUUAUGCUUUGGAUUUUGGUUUUCUUCAUUUUGGUUUAAGGUGUUGUUAAUUUUUGUUAUUUCUUAUAUUCUAGUCAUUGUUUUAAUAGUUUGCUAAGGUGUUACAUUAUAUAUAAGGACUGCUGUUUUGAAAGCCCCCAUUGAGUAAAAUGAAUGUAUUUUUAUGAAUAAAAUGCAAUUUCAAACUUCACUCUGAGACUCUUCUUUAGGCAGGUGAGGUUUCACGCUCCUGUAAACCCUGAACUCACAGGCUUUGAUGUAUCUCAGUAAGUUUCAGGAAUCUUGAGCUGCACAAGGAUUUCCCAGCCAUGGGACUCAGAGCUAUUGUCAGGCCCAAACUAC